rfam:Arabidopsis thaliana chromosome 3, complete sequence.
GAACCAUAUCACAUUGGUUGGUGUAACCAUUGAAAUGCUCCCAUGCUUCACAGAAGCUUUCACCAGUCAUCUAUGAAAAGCCAGAGAUCUCAUUUCCGAGUCU